GGGCCCGCACAAGCGGUGGAACAUGUGGUUUAAUUCGACACUACGCGAGGAACCUUACCUAGGCUUGACAUGCGUUUGACCGUUGUAGAAAUACAGCUUUUUAGGUUUCGGCUUAAACAGGCGCACAGGUGCUGCAUGGUUGUCGUCAGCUCGUGUCGUGAGAUGUUGGGUUAAGUCCUUUAACGAGCGCAACUCCUACCGUUAGUUGCUAAUUGCUUUGCAAUGCACUCUAGCGGGACUGCCUGGGAAACCAGGAGGAAGGUGGGAAUGACGUCAAAUCAUCAUGGUCCUUAUGCCUAGGGCUACACACGUGUUACAAUGGUCGGUACAAAGGGCUGCAAACCUGCAAAGGUGAGCUAAUCCCAUAAAGCCGAUCUAAGUUCGGAUUGAGGUCUGCAACUCGACCUCAUGAAGUUGAAAUCGCUAGUAA
rnacentral:rRNA from 1 species